rnacentral:rRNA from 1 species
UGCCAGCCGCCGCGGUAAUACGGAGGGUGCAAGCGUUAUCCGGAUUCACUGGGUUUAAAGGGUGCGUAGGCGGGCUUAUAAGUCAGUGGUGAAAUCCUUCCGCUCAACAGAAGAACUGCCAUUGAAACUGUAAGUCUUGAGUAUGAUUGAGGUAAGCGGAAUGUAGCAUGUAGCGGUGAAAUGCAUAGAUAUGCUACAGAACACCAAUAGCGAAGGCAGCUUACCAAGUCAUUACUGACGCUGAGGUACGAAAGCGUGGGUAGCGAACAGGAUUAGAUA